rnacentral:sRNA from 1 species
GCCAGGCACAGUGGAGCAUGCCUGUAAUCCCAGGCUCAGGAGGCUGAGACAAGAGGAUCGCAGGUUCAAAGCCAGCCUCAACAAUAGCAAGGUGCUAAGCAACUCAGUGAGACCCUGUCUCUA